GACGAACGCUGGCGGCGUGCUUAACACAUGCAAGUCGAACGGUGAACUCCGCUUGCGGGGGGAUCAGUGGCGCACGGGUGAGUAACACGUGGGCAACCUGCCCUCAGCUCUGGGAUAACUCCAAGAAAUUGGGGCUAAUACCGGAUAUGACCGCUGACCGCAUGGUCUGGUGGUGGAAAGAUUUAUCGGCUGGGGAUGGGCCCGCGGCCUAUCAGCUUGUUGGUGGGGUAGUGGCCUACCAAGGCGACGACGGGUAGCCGGCCUGAGAGGGUGACCGGCCACACUGGGACUGAGACACGGCCCAGACUCCUACGGGAGGCAGCAGUGGGGAAUAUUGCGCAAUGGGCGAAAGCCUGACGCAGCGACGCCGCGUGGGGGAUGACGGCCUUCGGGUUGUAAACCUCCUUCAGCAGGGACGAAGCGAAAGUGACGGUACCUGCAGAAGAAGCACCGGCCAACUACGUG
rnacentral:rRNA from 1 species